GAAGAUUAGACUUUGCCAACAUCUUCUUCCAGACUGCGUCUCUUGGAUCUAAAUCACUGGGAAAGGAUGUGGGCUCUUAAACUGUACAACUGUGAGCUCUGUGGGAGUGAUUUUGUGAGCUGCACGGCUCUGAGGUAUCACUUUCAACAGAAGCAUCUUGGAAAAGUUCACUGCGAAAAAUGUGGCCAAGAAGUCCCGGGGGAUAAGCUCCAAGAUCACAGCAAGUCUAUAUCUCACAGGUCAACCAUGGAGACACACAGCUAAACUGGGUAAAUCUAGAAGAAAGGAAUAUAAUGCAUAAGGCUACAAAAAUAUCAAAAUCCUGUAGAAUGUGUUGUAGGCACUUUGGAACAAUCCUUAGUCGGGAGAACCAUGAAAGACAAGAGCAUCACUUCACAGCCAGUAAAAGAGCCCAAAUGUCCACAGGAUUUUCACCUCAUAAUAUGUUGGAAUGUAAAGGUUCCCAAGAACUACAGAGAUUUGCAGACAAAAAAAUCCACCCUGCCUCAGGUUCUCAGAGAGCUGCUUGUGUGGCUGAAAUAGAUGCCUUCCUCCAGCUGAUCCAGGGUUGCUUUCCGGUACCCAUCUCCCGAGUGAUCCAGGGUGGUUCUUAUGUAAAGGGGACUGAUACUCAAGGAUGCUCUGAGAUCGACAUCGUGUUGCUCAGUGAUGUGUUUGGCAGUGUGAACCAUUCCAAGAAACAACUGAGAGAAGGACUGGAGGCUCUGAGGGAAAACCUGAAGCGAACUUCACAGGGGAACAGGAUCCUAAUGGGGAAGAGAACAUCACUGUCUUUAAGAUUCAAUUAUUUAUGCACUGAAAGUCUUCACAGCCAUUCCUUUGAGAUCAUGGCCUACUAUGAUGUGCUGGGGCCUACACCUUCCACAGGUAAGAUUGAUUGAUUUGUUUCACAGGAAAUCUUUAAAAUGGCUGUUCAUUCAUUAUGUAUUUAUAGAGGACUGACCACAUC
rnacentral:lncRNA from 9 species